rfam:Ictidomys tridecemlineatus contig037534, whole genome shotgun sequence.
GGGGUUGUGGCUCAGCGGUAGAGUACUCGCCUCACAUGUGUGCAGUCCUAGGUUCAAUUCUCAGCACCA